rnacentral:lncRNA from 1 species
CUUUCAGGGAUCAUUUCUAUAGUGUGUUACUAGAGAAGUUUCUCUGAACGUGUAGAGCACCGAAAACCACGAGGAAGAGAGGUAGCGUUUUCUCCUGAGCGUGAAGCCGGCUUUCUGGCGUUGCUUGGCUGCAACUGCCGUCAGCCAUUGAUGAUCGUUCUUCUCUCCGUAUUGGGGAGUGAGAGGGAGAGAACGCGGUCUGAGUGGUUUUUCCUUCUUGAUGGCUCAAUGACAGAGACUAGCUCGUAAACUCCGGGGCGUUUCUGGGCUGUUCGCUCCUGCUUGGCAUGUCGCGAGAAAGGUUUUCGCCUCCUGUUUCAGCGGUGACGGCUCUUGGGUUUUCUCGGGGUGGCUUUUUAAUUUUAGU